CAGCACCUCAAGUGGUCAGGAUGAUUAUUGGGCCUAAAGCAUCCGUAGCCUGCUUUGUUAGUUUUCGGUUAAAUCCAUACGCUCAACGUACAGGCUGCCGGGAAUACUGCAGAGCUAGGGAGUGGGAGAGGUAGACGGUACUCGGUAGGAAGGGGUAAAAUCCUUUGAUCUAUUGAUGACCACCUGUGGCGAAGGCGGUCUACCAGAACACGUCCGACGGUGAGGGAUGAAAGCUGGGGGAGCAAACCGGAUUAGAUACCCGUGUAGUCC
rnacentral:rRNA from 1 species